rnacentral:lncRNA from 1 species
AUAUCAAAUUCCGUAGGUUGUAUUAGGUUAUUGAUUAUUGGAAAAGAUACGAACACCCUAUAAUUUGGUAAAAUAAUCAAAGAACCCUCUUUAUUUUUAAAAUAGACACAUAGAUAUUUUUCAGGAUAAUUAUGUAUUGGCAGUCGUUAUGGUAAAGUUACUUUAUUGUAGAACACUAAUGAUAACUGUCAGAUCAUAAUAGUAAUUAGAGAUUUAAUAUUUAUAUGUAUGAUUGUAUAAUCAUCAUCAAUACUCCACAAUAGAACAAUUCCAAUAUAAUUGGACCCUUGUAUCUUUAGUUAUAAUGACCUAGUUGUAUUUUAUUUGAGUAAAAUUAUUCAAGAAAAAUCUACUUGGCUUUUCUCAAAGUAAAUGUAUUCCUAUAAUUAUUUUAGUAAACCAUAAGAGUGUCGCUGUCAUUUUCCUUUGAUUAGUUGCUUUCUUGAUAUGUAGUUCAACUUGAUGAGUAUGAAGAAUUUUCCGGAGGAAAAAUAAAUGUUUCGACAUGUAAGGUAACAUCAUUUUGGUGAGAAAUGAGGGGGUACUACUUGAUGUUGCUAGGAAAAAAUUGUGGUGCAAAAGAAUUUGUCUCUGUAUGGGGAAUUUGCGUAGUAUAGUUUUCUGUUGCCAAGAAACACUUCUUUGUCUUCUGUUCUUGCCCUUUUUACUAAACUUAUCUUAGGUUAACAAUCAUUAGUUAUGAUUAAGGUCUGUUUAGAACACCCAUUUGGUUAAUGUAAGUGACCAUACUUAACUCUCAAUAGCUUGAUAUGCGCAUGAUGCUAUGCUUUCAAAACGAUUCACUGCCUCGGAUCAUAAUUUUUUUAUAUUAUUGAGACUUAAUUUUUUUUCCCUAGCAAUCUUAUGUAAUAAUCACCGAUUACAAGUUUAAAUUUUAUAUACGAUAAAUUUAGAUAAAGAGAGAAUCCCGAUUCUAUUAUAUGCAUAGGAUUCUCAAGUAUUGUCAUGACAAAAACAGUAAACAUUUUAGAUUCUUCAACAGUUAUUUUUUAAGCAGUGUCUGUCUUGUAUUAUUUUCUUUUCGGUGGCAGAUACCUUAAAUGUUAAUUAAAUAAAAACAGCCCCACACACAUAGUGCACCUAUUCACAUGAUGUGUAAGGUAUGGGCAGAAAAACAAAAAAAAAGAAACAAAAGUAAGUCUAUUAUAUUAUUUUUUAAUAUUCAUUAUGGGAGAUAAGUAUCAUAUAUAUAUAUAUAUAUAUAUAUAUAUAUAUAUAUAUAUAUAAUAUUAAAAUCUUGGUGGUUGAAUGAGUAGAUUGUCGAUGACAAACCUAAAAUAAAUUAAUUUUCGGUUACAACUUUACCACCUACUCAUCUAAAAGUCAAUUAUCCAUAACCCAACUUGUUCAUAUGUAACAUUAGUGAUUAAUGCAUUUUUAUCUUAUUCUACACAAUGACCUCAAUCCGUAGCAAUUUUUAACUUCAUAUUAGCUCCCAUUUAUCUCAACAGUAACAUUUGGAUAAUUCCCACGUGGUUUAGUGGACUUUACCAAGUAGGCCAAGACCUCAACCUGAGUGGCACAAAAUGAAAUUGUAUAGAUUACAAUAAUUUCAUUAGUCAACAUUUGAGGACAAUUGUAAUAAUUAAAUAUAAAUUCUGCAUUAUAUUUAGACAUCGUCAAUCACGUCCCCCACACAUAUAUUUACUAAUAAAUUAAACUAACCCACUAUUAAAAAUAUUUAUGUUUCUCUUUCAAAAUGAUUGAGGGUAAAAAAUGAAGAAGAAUUGUGUAAAAAAUUUAGAUGAUUCAUAAUAAAGAUCACAUCACAAUAAUAAUUUUAGACGGAAAUUGUUAUGUUACAUAAUCAUGUAAUAUACAUGAUUAUGUAACAGCCAUUGAAUGAAAAUCUAAUGAUUGUGAAAAUAUAAAAUAAUAAAAUUAUGUUAUUUCUUCAUCCAACGGCUAUUAAAUAAUCAUAACAAAAGUCAUUUUAGACAAGUUUAGAGAUGAAUAGCUGUCACUUUUUGAUGAAGGGCGCUGAGACUGGUUAUCUCCAGGAAACAUUAAUUAGCUACGUUUUUCCGUUGCCAUUAACAAUGUUUCCGUUAUUUCAUAUUUGUUGCAUGUAUAUCAAGCGAUGGUUGUGACCAAAUAUCUUUGACAGGUAACAAAAAUAUUUCGUCCAUAACAAAAAAAAAAAAAUUGAUAGUAGUGGAACCCUUAUUUUAAAUCUAUAUUGUAAUUAAAUAAAAAAAGUAAAUACAAUAUAUGCUCAAA